AUUUUGUCGUGGCAAGCCGUGCCAUUUUCGUGCACGAACUGGGAUGGCUCCCGCACUGUUCACGACUAGUGCACGACCAGUUCACGACGAUUUCACGAAUGAUUCAUGAAUGCGUGCCCAUCAGUGUCAACAUUGACACGGACUGGUACGACGAGCUCACGCAUACUUUCCGCAUAGUUUGCGCAUAGUUUACGCACUUCCUGCAUUGGCACGACAAGUUUGCGCAAUUUGUGCCGACUUGGGCAUGCCAUAUGAAAAUGGGACCUCCCAUUUACUAAUGUAAGCUCCGUGACCUGACCUGACCCAUCGUGACCUCCGGCGACCCAAAUGUCCUGACCGUACCUAAUGUGACCAGUUUGACCUGGACUGACCUAUCGUGACCUUGGCUGACCUCUGUGACCUGGCGUGAACUAUCGUGACCUUAUGGUGAGUUCUGUGACCUAACCUGACACCGUGUGACCUAAUUUGACCUCUGUGGCCUAACCUGAGCUCGUGUGACCUAGUUUGACCUCUUUGACCUGAAAUGACCCGUUAAAUACAUUUUCGGUCAUACCUUUCCAUCUAGGCGUCCAAAAGACUCGGGAAAAACACCACACAAUCCCAAAUUUCGCGCUGCCAACACUGAAAACAAAUCUACUCAUGAGGGGAGAGUAAUUCAUAUUUGACUCGCCAUUCAUGAGUAUAUUUGGAUGAGUAACUCAUGCGUGGAGCGUUAACACUCAAGAGUAAAAGUUUACUCGUUUUGAAAACUAAAUUGCCCAAAUGCAUGACCUUCUCCCUAUGAGUUGCCUGACUCAUGACGCACAAAACAUUGGUAUCAAAACUCCCUGUUGAGUCUCGCAAACUCACGUAAGGCGAGUAAGGAAUGUGCUCACGACCCGUGAGUUAGUGAAACUGAACGUUUGGGUUUAAGAACUCAUGAAAAAGAGGACAUGGAUUCUUGCUAACUCAUUGUUCGUGAGUAAUGAGUUCAAAAACCAGUUUGAAAUCAUUAACUCUUCAAACGCAGCUUAAGGAAACCAAUGAUGCGCCGGUAAAUAUGAUCAACCGUGAAUUAUCCAUGAGCUGCUUUACACAAGCCUUACGCGUUAAUAUUACCGCCAUGACGCCAUCUUGCAUGUUUGUGCCGGAAGUGCAGCACGGGACGCGGCGGACGCAGUGAAUUGGAGGCUGGAGCGACUGCUGGACGGUGCCAUGUAGGCCACUUUCUCAGAGAGGCGACACCUCAUCGUCAAGAGGAAAAUCCCGAUGGCCACCAUCCGUCGUCGAUGAAAACAAAGUCUGGAAAGAGCUGAGCCGGAUAAAAAAUGCCGACUUGCAGGACACCAACGAGUUGGAACUCUCCCGGGAAGCCAUGACCCCGAUUGUGGCCAAUGGCGAAGGUGAAAGAGCAGCUGGAUGCCUCACAGAUGACGAUGCGAUCGACCAUCUUCUCUGCACCGUGCUAAAGAGCACCAAGUUGUGUUCACAUCGGCGCCGCAGCCACGGCCUCAUGUGGCAGACGACUUCCACGCGAGGGCGUGCCAGCAGUGCAGUUUAAGGAGCUAACGGCAAAGGUGAACAAGCUGCUGACGUGGGGGGCCGCGUUCACAUGUUUGCGCAGUCGUUCAACCGCCCAGCCAUCCGUCUGGCCGGCUACCUGAUGUGUGCCGUGAUCCUGAAGACCGAUGUGUCGCCGCCCCCAAAGCAGUGGGCGGCGAUGACCGGCUGCGUUUAGGAGUGCACGGGGAGGGACAUGAGGCAGCACUUAAGGGACUUUCUGUCUCUUUUUGUGUUUGUGUUUCUGCCGGGUAGUUUUGCAAAGAAAUGGCGUUAACGCUUUUUCAUGCGUGUAGGCCAAGUUCAUGUCUGGAAGGGCAUGAGCGUCGUGCUGUGUUCAUCACCCUUGUUCAUAUGAUCAAUGAUGUAAUAGUCGUGGUUUAUCUGCAUGUUAUGCAUUGUUUUAAUAAACCUUAU